GAAAAUUGGUUGGCUAUUGAGACUAUUCGUUGGUGGUGAAGCGAGGCCACCACGAGACGGCGAGAGCAAGAGAGACAAAGUUAGGAACACGCACGCACGACCCAAUUUUCUACCUAAACGAGAGACCCUCUCACCAAGUGCCCACGAGCGGCAGGACCUCUCCGCAGUUUAGCGACUCUAAGGGAGGGGACGAACCAAGAACCCGGCGGCCGUCGUCGCGCAAAGGACCUACGAGGACGCGCGAUCGACAAACAUCUUUACCCAGUCGCCACCACGGGAAACGGUUCUUCUUCUCCUUCCCCAUGUCGCACCUCGGCGGACUACCUCUCCUCUGCUUUCUACCACGAAGACUACUCUAUCUCCCAUACCAGCUCCUACAACUACCGCUCCUCCUCCCCCCGCUGCUCCUCCUACGACCGCUACUGCUAUAUCACCUACUGCUACUGUCGCUGUUACUACUACUGAUACUAAAGCUUCUACUUAAACUCUCACUACUACUUGUUCUGGAAAUACAACCUCUACCUCCACGACCACCACCUCAUAGUGAACGACCAUGUACCACCCCGUUCCUUCGAAACCGUAACCGGCUCCUCCAAAGUCGUAGUAAGCUACCGCUGAACUUUUAAAUACGAAAGUUCCGUUGACGUUUAAAUCUUUAGUCUCAAGCGUAACUCUUCUACAGGUGAUCCAUACCAAGAGGUUGAUAACUACUGUAACUUCGCAUGUGUUAACGCAUGGCACGUUUCAACCUACUACGUCUCAGUCGUCCGUCCUAUGGUUUCUUGCAUAGGAACCUCCACAGUAGGGGACCACACCUCUCUCAGUAGGCACAGGGCCUGCUGGAACUUGCGAAGUUUCUUGCCAGCUACAUACAGUCUAUGCAAUACUGUUCGCUCCUACGUCGGUGCCGGGUCCUUCCGCUGCCACACAAGUCCGAGUAAAGCAUGCUGCACCUGGACACACUCACGUGGACCCCGUAUCGGCUACAAUUCUAUUUGGCCGUCGUCUGGCCGUUCCCGUCCGGAGACUCGUUCUUCGUCUCUCUUACCGCAGACGUCUGCGGCAAGCUCAGCGACUUCAACCAGUCCCACAUGAGACUUACAACUCGUCGAAGAAACUGAUUUAGUAACAAAGGUAGGCUCCAUUGAAAAUGUCUUGGAGCAGGUUAAAACGACUUGAUGGUGACUAUCAGGUCACAUGCACGUCAUCGAUCUAACAACGUGGUAAACAAGUAUAGGUCACCACUCUACUCAAGAAAAGAGAAGAUGAAUUGUCUAUUGUGGACUUGACAGGGACAGGACUUCAAAACGGGAGAACAAACGGAGAAUGUAUCAAUAUACCGUCGUAAGGGACGUACAUAAAUGAACUAACUAGGUAAUUAACAAAGUAAACCGGGACUAUAUGUUAGGUGAACAGCUUAAUCAUUAGAGAACAGUUGCUCUUACCUAAUGCACAAGCUGGCUUACACGACGACUCAUCCUUUCAACUAG
rnacentral:rRNA from 1 species